ACUCAAAGGAAUUGACGGGGGCCCGCACAAGCAGUGGAGUAUGUGGUUUAAUUCGAAGCAACGCGAAGAACCUUACCAGGGCUUGACAUAUACUUGAAUACAUUGGAAACGAUGUAGCCUUUCGGGGCAAGUAAACAGGUGGUGCAUGGUUGUCGUCAGCUCGUGUCGUGAGAUGUUGGGUUAAGUCCCGCAACGAGCGCAACCCCUGUGAUUAGUUGCUAACAAGUGAAGUUGAGGACUCUAAUCAGACUGCCGGUGAUAAAUCGGAGGAAGGUGGGGACGACGUCAAAUCAUCAUGCCCUAUAUGUCCUGGGCAACACACGUACUACAAUGGUCGUGACAAAGAGAACCGAAGCAGUGAUGUGGAGGAAAACUCAGAAAAGCGAUCUCAGUUCGGAUUGAAGGCUGAAAUUCGCCUUCAUGAAGUAGGAAUUGCUAGUAAUGGUAGGUCAUCAUACUACCGUGAAUACGUUCCCGGGCCUUGUACACACCGCCCGU
rnacentral:rRNA from 1 species